AGCUUGGUGCAGUGGCAGUAUCAUAGCCAAUGAGGUUUAUCCGAGGUGCAAUUAUUGCUAAUUAAAUAAUAGUGAAGAGUUAUGUAUUAUAUUACUGUUGCUGCUGUAACAAAUUACCACAAACUUUAAAACAACGAAAA